UAGGUCAUUAUCAGGAAACCGGGGA
rnacentral:piRNA from 1 species